GAUGAACGCUAGCUACAGGCUUAACACAUGCAAGUCGAGGGGCAGCGGGAGCUUAGCUUGCUAAGUUUGCCGGCGACCGGCGCACGGGUGAGUAACACGUAUCCAACCUGGCCCAUACUCGGGUAUAGCCUCUCGAAAGGGAGAUUAAUCCCCGAUGUUGUUGUUGUGUCGCAUGAUGUUUCAACCAAAGAAUUUCGGUAUGGGAUGGGGAUGCGUUCCAUUAGCUUGUUGGCGGGGUAACGGCCCACCAAGGCGACGAUGGAUAGGGGUUCUGAGAGGAAGGUCCCCCACACAGGAACUGAGACACGGUCCAGACUCCUACGGGAGGCAGCAGUGAGGAAUAUUGGUCAAAGGUCGGAAGACUGAACCAGCCAAGUAGCGUGAAGGAUGACUGCCCUAUGGGUUGUAAACUUCUUUUGUUUGGGAAUAAAGUGCAGCACGUGUGCUGUUUUGUAUGUACCAUUCGAAUAAGCAUCGGCUAAUUCCGUGCCAGCAGCCGCAGUAAGAC
rnacentral:rRNA from 1 species